rnacentral:rRNA from 1 species
UUGGAGGGCAAGUCUGGUGCCAGCAGCCGCGGUAAUUCCAGCUCCAAUAGCGUAUAUUAAAGUUGUUGCAGUUAAAAAGCUCGUAGUUGAAUUUCGGGAUCAAUAUGUUGGUCGUGCCUUGGUACGUACUAAUUUAUUGGUUUCUUCCUUCUGACGAACCUUGAUGUCAUUAAUUUGGUGUCUUGGGGAAUCAGGACUGUUACUUUGAAAAAAUUAGAGUGUUUAAAGCAGGCUCACGCUUGAAUACAUUAGCAUGGAAUAAUGAAAUAGGACGUUUGAUUCUAUUUUGUUGGUUUCUAGGAUUGACGUAAUGAUUAAUAGGGAUAGUUGGGGGCAUUAGUAUUCAAUUGUCAGAGGUGAAAUUCUUGGAUUUAUUGAAGACUAACUACUGCGAAAGCAUUUGCCAAGGAUGUUUUCAUUAAUCAAGAACGAAAGUUAGGGGAUCGAAGACGAUCAGAUACCGUCGUAGUCUUAACCAUAAACUAUGCCGACUAGGGAUCGGAUGAUGUUAAUUUUUUAAUGACUCAUUCGACGCCUUAC